CCUACGGGUGGCUGCAGUAAGGAAUAUUGGUCAAUGGAGGAAACUCUGAACCAGCCAUCCCGCGUGAAGGAUGAAGGGGCUCUGCCUUGUAAACUUCUUUUGUCUGGGGCGAAAAAGCUCGAUUUAUCGAGACCUGACGGUACCAGAAGAAUAAGCACCGGCUAACUCCGUGCCAGCAGCCGCGGUCAUACGGAGGGUGCAGGAAUUCUCCGGAAUCACUGGGUUUAAGGGGGCCUAGUAAGUCAGCGGAGAAAGGCUGUGGCUUAACCAUGGAAUUGCCAUUGAUACUGCAGAGCUUGAAUGAGGUUGAGGUUGGCGGAAUGUGACAUGUAGCGGUGAAAUGCUUAGAUAUGUCAUGGAACACCGAUUGCGAAGGCAGCUGACUGGACCUAUAUUGACGCUGAGGCACGAAAGCGUGGGGAGCGAACAGGAUUAGAUACCCCUGUAGUC
rnacentral:rRNA from 1 species